AGUAACGCGUGAGGAACCUGCCUUCCAGAGGGGGACAACAGUUGGAAACGACUGCUAAUACCGCAUGACACAUUUGAAUCGCAUGGUUUGAAUGUCAAAGAUUUAUCGCUGGAAGAUGGCCUCGCGUCUGAUUAGCUUGUUGGCGGGGUAACGGCCCACCAAGGCGACGAUCAGUAGCCGGACUGAGAGGUUGGCCGGCCACAUUGGGACUGAGACACGGCCCAGACUCCUACGGAAGGCAGCAG
rnacentral:rRNA from 1 species